rnacentral:rRNA from 1 species
UACGUAGGGUGCAAACGUUGUUCGGAAUCACUGGGCAUAAAGAGCGCGUAGGCGGUCUGAUAAGUCCUGUGUGAAAGCCCCCGGCUCAACCGGGGAACUGCACAGGAUACUGUUGGGCUAGAGUGCAGGAGGGGAGAGCGGAAUUCCUGGUGGAGCGGUGAAAUGCGUAGAUAUCAGGAGGAACGCCAGUGGCGAAAGCGGCUCUCUGGUCUGUUACUGACGCUGAGGCGCGAAAGCUAGGGGAGCAAACGGG